rnacentral:sRNA from 1 species
AUGAGCGUGUAGUAGAGCUGCAAUGUGAGAUACGCGAGAAGUGUGAGGCAUUAACGCAAGAUCCCGAAAUGGGCUUGAUUUUGGGCGAAGCUUUACAUGCGGAAAGCGACAAUGUCCCUUUUUUGCAGUCCAUUGCUGAUGAUUUAACCCAAAACGGAGUAUCCGGGGAAGCCUUUCAAGAAGCUCUGAAUAUAGUGGGACAGGCGGCGGCCUCCCCACUGGACCAAUUUGAGAUUGUCCCAUUGAUUCCUAUGCAUAUCGGAAACUUCUAUUUCUCAUUCACAAAUCCAUCUUUGUUCAUGCUGCUAACUCUGAGUUUUUUCCUACUUCUGAUUCAUUUUGUUACUAAAAAGGGAGGAGGAAACUUAGUCCCAAAUGCUUGGCAAUCCUUGGUAGAGCUUCUUUAUGAUUUCGUGCUGAACCUGGUAAAGGAACAAAUAGGUGGUCUUUCCGGGAAUGUGAAAUAAAUGUUUUUCCCUUGCAUCUUGGUCACUUUUCUUUUUUUGUUAUUUUGUAAUCUUCAGGGUAUGAUACCUUAUAGCUUCACAGUGACAAGUCAUUUUCUCAUUACUUUGGCUCUCUCAUUUUCGAUUUUUAUUGGCAUUACUAUAGUGGGAUUUCAAAGACAUGGGCUUCAUUUUUUCAGCUUUUUAUUACCCGCAGGAGUCCCACUGCCGUUAGCACCUUUUUUAGUACUCCUUGAGCUAAUUUCUUAUUGUUUUCGCGCAUUAAGCUUAGGAAUACGUUUAUUUGCUAAUAUGAUGGCCGGUCAUAGUUUAGUAAAGAUUUUAAGUGGGUUCGCUUGGACUAUGCUAUGUAUGAAUGAUAUUUUCUAUUUUAUAGGGGCUCUUGGUCCUUUAUUUAUAGUUCUUGCAUUAACCGGUCUGGAAUUAGGUGUAGCUAUAUUACAAGCUUAUGUUUUUACGAUCUUAAUCUGUAUUUACUUGAAUGAUGCUAUAAAUCUCCAUUAAAGUUCUUCUUUCUUUUAUUUAUAUUUAUAAUUGAACAAAAGCGAGGGAUGGAUGUCUG